GUUCCGGUGUCAGCGGCGGUUGAAUUGCCAUGGCAAUGCGGUGGGCGCGCGCUUGUCGUGUUGGUCUCUUGGGAGGUAGCGGGGCUAGGCCGGGCGGGUAUCCGCCUCUCCCAGCUUAGAUUCAUUGAUUCCAGGUAAAUCAGAGGAACAAGCAACAUGAACAGAAAUAUGUAGAAAAAGCUAUUAUGCAGAAGCAUAAUUGUUGUUUCAGAAGUCCAGCAUCUGGUGCACUUAACAAUAGAGAAUAUAUUAAACUCUUUCCAAAAUAACCUGUUGUUCCUACCUGUGUUGUAAGUGUUUUGUUUGUUUUUAAGUAAAUAUUGGUGAUUUGUUGCCAAAAACCUAAACUGUUUGUUGCUGUCAACUUAAAUAACGAACAGAGAGAGGCUCUCUAAAAGAAAAUGGCAUUUAUUCAGGAAUAGAGCACUGCAAUGAGAAAAUGCAUGCGAUAGUUAACUGUGUGUAUCCUGGGAGAUAGAGGAAGACAAAGGUCUUUAAAGGAAAAAUGAGGAGGGUUACAUAAUUGUUUUGAGAUAAUUAUUUUUGACUACAAGGAUCAGUAACAAAGGUGACACCAGUCCCAGGUUGGACAGGCAGGUGCUCGGCAGGCAUUGCAGAAGUAUUUUUUGUGUAAGAUUGAGAUGGCCUUUGUGCAGGAUUGUGGUUUUGGAAUCUUCUGUGAUCGUUUUUGCUAUCAGGCAUUUAUGCUUGCGAACUCUUUAUGGCCUUCCCUGUGUCUAUUUUGAUUCCACCUUUCUCAUUGCCCACUCUAAACUGUAAUUCUGCUUUUAUGUUGACUGAGAUCAGGAGAAGAAUUUGCAAACUUAUAUCCUGAGACAGAACAGUAAUGAGGAGUAUCGUGUUCCUUACCUAAUGUAUAAUAUUGGGCUCAGAAGCAGUUGUCUUUUUUAUUUGUUGAACGUUGUAUUAAGUUGAGAAUGCAGCUGCCAUUAAAGAUUAAGAGUAAUCCUUGAGAAGGAAGAGUACAAAGCCUGUGUUUUGCUAAAUCAUAGUGAAGUUGCCGUGUUUUUGUAGAAUAUGAUAAGAACAUACAGUGUGUGAAAUGCUAAGGAUAUGGAAAAGCAUGUUGGUGCUCUUUCAAGGAGCUAUUUUGAUAGCAUGAGCAAGGGCAGGAAACAGAUCAUGUAUCUGAACCAAAGAAAUUGAAACAAUACAUCUAAAUUUAAAUUUUUAAUAAAACAACCCAAAAUAUAGUGAAAUACUUAGCACCAAACAUCAGUG
rnacentral:lncRNA from 10 species